AACCGGCGACGUUAGCCGAGUGAUCAAAGGCGCACGGCCUACAGAGCACUCACUGCGAGUUAGUUCAACUCGCUGGCCAGGCGUGGGUUCGAAUCCCAAGCUGGUCU
rnacentral:tRNA from 1 species